AUAUCUUUUCAAUAAAAUAAAAAUUCUUAAAAUGUUUUGAUUCCACUAAAAUACAAAUUUUUGGAUUGCCAAUUAACAGAAGUGCUCGGUUAGUGAGGUGGGACUCGCGACCUUUGCAGAGUUGUAAAGGUAUAGUGAAAAGGCUUGACUGAACUUGUUGAGUAUUAAGACUUCUACUGGACCAAAUAUUGUUUUGGUUAAAAUAUGAGAAAUUGUAAAAAUAUCGCUCACCAUGGCCAAGAAGCACAAAUACAUAUACAAGAAAUUUAAGAUUGCCUGCAAUACGCGGAGUCAGGAGGUUGUUUUACUACGUUUGCGUAAAACCUGCUUCUGGGAAUAUAUCCAAACAAUUAAUAGGGUCUUGCCUGAACCAAUAAAACAUGUCUACACCGUUGCAACUAGGCUCUUCAACAUAUUAGAAAAAUUUUGGGAGAGAGCACGUACUUUGAUGAACAUAUCGAAUCAUAGAGUUCUGUUGCGUAUAGAUAGACGUUAUCUGAAGGAUAUCGUACAACGUCUAUUGCACCCUGCUGAUCUACUUGUUAUUUAUCCCAUGAUAGAAACUGUGUUAAAUCUUGCGAAAAAGAAGAAAAAAAAAACGUCAUCCAAAUCGUGCAGAAUUCAGGCGCGCAGAAGACGAUAUCGCUAGAUUUACCACUUAUAUAUUUAAGUAGAUGAAUAUGAUGACAAACAGAAACUGUGCGCUGUCCCCAUCUUUUCGCAAUAAAACCAAAUUGUUUGACUGUCAAAAUUAAAUGAAAUCAAUAGAAAAUUAAAGAACAGAAAGGAUGAAGCUACAAUAAAAUGUGGUAAAGAUUUUUGGAUUAAAAUUCUUUAUCGCUACCAACAAAUUGGAUAUACUAUUUUUAUAAAAAUUGCAAGACUUUUUUUGGGAGAAAUGCAGAAAAAAACAAAAAUUUUACG